rnacentral:rRNA from 1 species
UACGUAGGUGGCAAGCGUUGUCCGGAUUUACUGGGCGUAAAGAGCGCGCAGGCGGUCGUUCAAGUCGCGUGUGAAAGCCCCCGGCUCAACUGGGGAGGGUCACGCGAUACUGAUCGACUCGAAGGCAGGAGAGGGAAGUGGAAUUCCCGGUGUAGUGGUGAAAUGCGUAGAGAUGUGGAGGAACACCAGUGGCGAAGGCGACUCUUUGGUCUGUAACUGACGCUGAGGCGCGAAAGCGUGGGGAGCAAACAGG